rnacentral:lncRNA from 7 species
CCCCACCCCAGCUUGUUGGGGAUAUAAGGCGGCUUACCCUAGGCUCUUAUGAACCCUAACUUGGCACGAAGACCACCAUUAAUCGGGUUAGGGUGAGGGAGAAGCGCUGUCACCAAGAGCAAUGAGAGAGGGAGCAAGCCAGCCGCCGCCGCGGAUUCUCGUUGCCAACCCGGCUCGAGCUCCCGCGUGGCUGCCUGGGGGUGGCCUGGCCGCAUAGAAGCUGUGGGAGGGGUCAAUCGAAGAGGAAACUGGCUGAAGCAUCACUGAUUCAUCGCUGGAGUAUCCUCACCGCCAUGGAGACGCGCACAAGCGUGGGCAGGACCGUCCGCACCGUCAACCGAGGCGAGAACUUCCCCAACAUGCCCGUCGUGAUCUUCGCUAAGUGUUGCACGCUUUUCCUUAGGAGCUGGGACUCUGGGGGGCUAGUUGGGCAGUCUCCGGCGAAAGCGCUGUCGUCUGCGCGCUGCGCCACCGCGGCUGAGAGGCAUGAGGAGGGUGAGUGGUCGGGGUCUGUUGAUCUUGUGACUAACUGCCAAGAUUAAAACCCUGAAUAUCGUUUUGGAUGGGGGUGUGGAUGUCAUUGAUCUGCCAGUGGGUGAAUGCAAUCUGAUCUCGCGUGAACGGUUUGAUCAUGGGAAUCUGAGCCGUUAGAUGUGCAUCGUGCGUGUAAGAAUCAUUCACAAUCAUUUUAAAUCCAACCGUAGAUCCUAGAUUGUAGGGUUGUGGCUUGAGACCAGGUCUUUAGGGAUCUGAUCUAAUCCUGAUCGUAGGCUUGUGAUCCAACUGUCAUGAUCCACUCAUACCCCGUCGGCCUGAAAACCUUGCAAAAG